rnacentral:tRNA from 1 species
GGGCCCGUGAUGUAAUGGAUAACAUUAACGGCUUCGGACCGUUGCAUGGGGGUUCGAAUCCCUCCGGGCUCG